CUCCUUUCCCGCCCUGCCGUCGCCGCCGCAGUAUCUUGGACGGGGCCCCAAGAUCUUCAACGGCGCAGCCGCCCCGCGCCGCCCGGCGGCCCUCUCUCCGUUGCACGAUGUUCGGACGGCGCGGGAGAUCGGUUCCUCCGCGGGUCGUGGAGGAGAUCCCUCGCAUAGGUACGUUGCCUCUGGUGCUCCCCAAACGCCAUAGCUGCAGGCAAUAGGAAUUCGAAAAGGACUGCUAGAUCUGUGUGCGUAUGGAUAGGAACUCCAAAAGGGCUGCUGGAUUUGUGUGCGUGUGGAUGCUGGAUUAGUUUUUUUUUAGAAAAGGAGGAUGACCCCCGGCCUCUGCAUCUGGGAGAUGCAUACGGCCACUUUAUUGAUUAUUCCCGAGGACCUUACAAAGUAUUACAACAAUAUGCCUGAAUCCGCCAUCUUGGCAACAUAUGCCACUACUCCUAUCCAUAUGAUGAAGGGGUGCUACCUGGGCCACAUACCCGGUCUACGCACCUAAGCCUAUCAUCAAAAGCCAGAAGCCCCAGCCGAGCCACAUACCGGGCCUGGGGCAUAAACUGGUCUGACACACUCACAUGUGUCGUCGCCGCCAUCUUUCCCAGGUCCGUCUUCAGAGCAGAUAUUGAGGCUUCUACCUUGUCAGGCCACUCCGUCAUCGAUGCCACCUUGACGCCAGACAAGUACCUCCACCUGCGCGAGUCCAUCCCCGCGCAUCGGACGCCGAGUCUCCACUACACCACGCCGCCGAGAUUCGCCGUCAUCAAUGUGAAGGAUGAAGUACCGCUCCACCAAUAAGGCACCCGCUGGUCCCUCGAUCCCGUGUACGCCUCCAAGAAUGACGCCCCCAAGGAGGAAACGACACCACGCGUCGCCGUCAUCCGAUCAACUGAUCUAGGGUUUCCUCCGGAGGUAGCGGAUAGAGGUCUAGAGCUUCUCCACGGCGAUGCCUUCAAGAAGGUAAUGACACCACAGGGUGCCACCAACGCCGGUCUUGGCAACAAGCCGAGCACAAGGUUUUCACCUGGAUCCGCUCGAAGAAUCUCCAUCACGUAUUGUGCGCACGGGUCGCCGCCGAUCUGAGCCGCCGCACAUCGAGCAAGCCGCACCGGGCAGAUCGGAUCUGUCCGGAGGGCAAACCACGCAUGGCGCCGACCCAACCACCAGGCCCUCCAUGCCGCCACCGCCGAUCCGAGGACAGAUGGUAUUAGUGGUGUGUGUGAGGUUUCUAGAUCUUCUCAUUUUUCCUACCAUCGAAUAGUAGUGUGUGUGACAAUAGAAAUAAAUUAUGAUGGCAUCCAAGGGUUUGUACUCUGACUAUAAUGCUUUGCCAUCAUGAGUUUGAUAUUGUGGGAAACGUGUUACUUCUUAGAAGAACUUAAUGAGGUUAUUUGAAAACCAAGAUUUCUCAGAACCUGAAUUUUUGGAUAGAGAUGAUAAAGUUGCUUUGGUGUCUAUGCAGUUCGGGAUAAUGGGAUCCUCUGCAGUAAUGUAUGGUACAGUACAGUCACUGACACGUGGACCCGGCCCCACAUGUCAUCUGCACUACAGCACCGUACAUUACUGCAGAGGAUCUCAACCCAGUAUGCAUAGGUAUAUUUUACGAAGCAUUCUAGCCAACACACACCUGGAAGCUGUGAUGCGAUUUACAUUCAUAUCACACAGAAAUGAAAGUGCAUGUACAGCCUGUAUGCCCAUGCUACGUGAACAGAAGCAAUCUUGAACAAUAAACAUAAAAACGAUGUGCUAAAUUACUCUGCCCAGUAGGAUUGUAGGCUUCUCAGGGAAUUAAUAAGGAUGUAAGAGAUUCUUGGUUCAGUUACAGAUGAUAAUCGUUGACAAUUUAUAAUUAAUAUGUUUUAGUUCUAGCGUAUUUUCUUUCAUGUACAUAUGUACAGUAACAAGCAUUGUUGUUUCUUAUGACAGGAUAGCGGCAUGGGUGGUGAAGGCAUCUUGAUAGAUGAAUUUAUGGAGUAUGACUCUAUGGUCAGGCAGACAUUUAAAAGUGAGACGAAGCAUACAAGUUCUACUUAGGGUAUGUGAAGAACAAAGGGUUUGUGACUAAAGAUAGUAUGAUGACUCGGGGGAGAAAGAGAAAAUAGAACAAUGACGAAGUGUGUGCUAAGAAGAAAAGACCAUUGAAGUAAGUUUAUGUAUUUUCAGAAGUAUUGUACAUGUUGAACCCUGUUUCGAUACCAUGUUAAUUUAUUUAAUUUUGUACAGGAAAACACCUGGAAAGUCAAGUAGACAGACUAAGAUGACAAGGGGAACACAAGUGUUAUACAUUCAGAUUUUUACUAUGGCACUUAUCAUCAGAGUUUUAUUUCUGCUUUGAAUGAGAUGUAGACGCACACUACAGUUUCACUUUUAUGAGAUUACAAUUGAG
rnacentral:lncRNA from 1 species